CUACGGGAGGCAGCAGUGGGGAAUCUUAGACAAUGGGCGAAAGCCUGAUCUAGCCAUGCCGCGUGAGUGAAGAAGGUCUUAGGAUCGUAAAGCUCUUUCGCCAGGGAUGAUAAUGACAGUACCUGGUAAAGAAGUCCCGGCUAACUCCGUGCCAGCAGCCGCGGUAAUACGGAGGGGACUAGCGUUGUUCGGAAUUACUGGGCGUAAAGCGCGCGUAGGCGGAUUAGCAAGUUGGGGGUGAAAUCCCGGGGCUCAACCCCGGAACGGCCUCCAAAACUGUUAGUCUUGAGUUCGAGAGAGGUGGGUGGAAUUCGGAGUGUAGGGGUGAAAUCCGAGAUAUUCGGAAGAACACCAGUGGCGAAGGCGGCUCACUGGCUCGAUACUGACGCUGAGGUGCGAAAGUGUGGGGAGCAAACAGGAUUAGAAACCCCUGUAGUCC
rnacentral:rRNA from 1 species